rnacentral:rRNA from 1 species
AGAGAGAGACAUGCGCGCAUAUCAAUAAGCGGAGGAAAAGAAACUAACUAAGGAUUCCCUCAGUAACGGCGAGUAGAAGCGGGAAGAGCUCAAAUUUGAAAUCUUCAAGGUUCUACCUUGACGAAUUGUAGUUUAAAGAAGUGUUUUCUGUUGGAGUUUUGGUAAAAGUUCUUUGGAAUAGGACAUCAUAGAGGGUGAGAAUCCCGUAUUUGACCAUUAUUUCCAGCUUUGUGAUACACUUUCAAAGAGUCGGAUUGUUUGGGAAUGCAGUCCAAAAUGGGUGGUAAAUUUCAUCUAAAGCUAAAUAUUGGCGAGAGACCGAUAGCGAACAAGUACCGUGAGGGAAAGAUGAAAAGAACUUUGAAAAGAGAGUUAAACAGUACGUGAAAUUGUCAAAAGGGAAGCGUUUGACACCAGUGUUGUUUUCUCGAAAAUCAAUUAAAAAAGGCAGGAUUUUGUGUUGUAUUGACUUUAUCAGCUUUCUGCACUCUUUUCUUGUCUUUUUUAAUGCACUUUUCGUUUAACAAGUCAACAUCAAUUUCUUUUGUUGUAAAAGGGUCAUUGGAAGGUGGCUUUCUUUUCGGAGAAAGUGUUUAUAGCCUUUGGCCUCUGCAAUCGGAGAGAUUGAGGUCUGCAGCGUAGAUCCUUCGGGGUUAGAUACAUUUGUGCUAAGUUAUAGCCUUUCAUAGACAACUUGUUGACUAUGAUCAGUCAUGUAGCUUACUCGCUUAUGCUAUUUUACCUACGCUUAGGAUGUUGAUGUGAUACUGCGAGC